UUUGUGUAAGAAGUAUUGCUA
rnacentral:piRNA from 1 species